rnacentral:rRNA from 1 species
AGAGUUUGAUCAUGGCUCAGAGUGAACGCUGGCGGCAGGCCUAACACAUGCAAGUCGAACGGCAGCACAGGGGAGCUUGCUCCCUGGGUGGCGAGUGGCGGACGGGUGAGGAAUGCGUCGGAAUCUGCCUUUUCGUGGGGGAUAACGUAGGGAAACUUACGCUAAUACCGCAUGCGACCCUGCACCGGGAGGUGCUGGGUGAAAGCGGGGGACCUUCGGGCCUCGCGCGGAAAGAUGAGCCGACGCCGGAUUAGCUAGUUGGCGGGGUAACGGCCCACCAAGGCGACGAUCCGUAGCUGGUCUGAGAGGAUGAUCAGCCACACUGGAACUGAGACACGGUCCAGACUCCUACGGGAGGCAGCAGUGGGGAAUAUUGGACAAUGGGCGCAAGCCUGAUCCAGCCAUGCCGCGUGAGUGAAGAAGGCCUUCGGGUUGUAAAGCUCUUUUGUUGGGAAAGAAAAGCUUUCGGUUAAUAACCGGGAGUCCUGACGGUACCCAAAGAAUAAGCACCGGCUAACUUCGUGCCAGCAGCCGCGGUAAUACGAAGGGUGCAAGCGUUACUCGGAAUUACUGGGCGUAAAGCGUGCGUAGGUGGUGGUUUAAGUCUGAUGUGAAAGCCCUGGGCUCAGCCUGGGAAUGGCAUUGGAAACUGGAUCACUGGAGUGCGGUAGAGGAUGGCGGAAUUCCCGGUGUAGCAGUGAUGCGUAUAGAGAUCGGGACGAACAUCCGUGGCGAA